GAUCCUGGCUCAGAAUCAACGCUGGCGGCGUGCCUCAGACAUGCAAGUCGAACGCGAAAGUCUCCUUCGGGGGACAAGUAGAGUGGCGCACGGGUGAGUAACACGUAGGUAAUCUACCUUCGGAUGGGGAAUAACAACCGGAAACGGUUGCUAAUACCGCAUAAUGCAGCGGCACCUAAUGGUGACAGUUGUUAAAGCGGGGGAUCGAAAGACCUCGCGUCUGAAGAGGAGCCUGCGGCGGAUUAGCUAGUUGGUAAGGUAAUGGCUUACCAAGGCGACGAUCCGUAGCCGGCCUGAGAGGGCGGUCGGUCACACUGACACUGACAUACGGGUCAGACUCCUACGGGAGGCAGCAGUCGGGAAUUUUGGGCAAUGGGCGAAAGCCUGACCCAGCAACGCCGCGUGAAGGAUGAAAUCCCUCGGGAUGUAAACUUCGCAAGAACGGGAAGAAUAAGCGAGAGUUAAUACCUCUCGUGACGACGGUACCGUUUGUAAGCUCCGGCUAACUCCGUGCCAGCAGCCGCGGUAAUACGGGGGGAGCAAGCGUUGUUCGGAUUUACUGGGCGUAAAGGGCGCGUAGGCGGCCACCGCAAGUCAAUUGUGAAAUCUCCGGGCUUAACUCGGAAAGGUCAACUGAUACUGCGGGGCUAGAGUGCGGAAGGGGCAACUGGAAUUCUCGGUGUAGCGGUGAAAUGCGUAGAUAUCGAGAGGAACACCUGCGGCGAAGGCGGGUUGCUGGGCCGACACUGACGCUGAGGCGCGAAAGCUAGGGGAGCGAACG
rnacentral:rRNA from 1 species